GAAAUGACUGGAUUGUUGGGAUGGGUAUGAAGAUGCAGUAGAGCCACCACCUAGGGGCUGUAAGGUCUAAUGGGCAAAUUGAAAGUAAAAAAGAGUGCACAUCCAUUCAAGCUAAGAGAGCUUGGGUUCCUAAAUUACUAUUGCUCUGGGUUCUGUUGGUGGCAUUGAUUGGUAUUGUUAAUCUACAAGGGAAUUGAUGGUGUUAACAAAGUUAGAAGAAAGGAAGUUUUGGGCGUAUGUGUGACCGGAGCACAAAGAUGCUUCUGCAUCAAUUUACUGUCAGUGUUAAACUAUGUCCAUGCUUUGGUUAUUCUAUUUUCUACUUUCCACUCCUCUCGAAAUGUAUCAGCAAUUGUUCAUGUAAAUGUGUUUCGAUUUCUGUUUGAUACUUCUCAGUUAGUUAGGGUUAAAAGUAUGAGAGAUAAUUCAUUUCUCGUCUCAUAUAGAAAUUAUCUUGAUGUCUUGAUUUUUAGGGUUUUUUUCAGCGGUUUUUGUUUUUUUUUUUUUGUUGGAUUUUGGCUAGUUAGGCUUAGAGGUGCAAGGACUUGUGAAAGAGAAGCAUUUGAUUGACCAACGAGUAAUUAGUUUCUCCUCAAGCAUCCCACCACUUUUCUAUUAAAGAAAUACAGGUACGUCUACGCUAUUACUUUUCAUGUCCUUUUACUUAAGAUAUUUAUAUAAAUAUAUAUAAAAAUAAAUAAGAUCCAUCUUUGGUAAUUUUUUUAAAAAUCAAAUCUGUGAAUAUUCAUUUCAUCUCUAAAGUUUUGCGUUUUGUUACUUUUUAAAAUUCCCUCCAUGUUACUAUUACACUCCUAUAUUUGUGUUGUAAUUAUGAUGUCCUUUUUCUAUGGUCUGUUAAAGUUAAUUUAAAUCCUUUUUUGCUCUUGGUUUAUGUUGAAGAAAUGGAAGAGUUUUUUAGCCUUAAUAGAUCUGGAGUACCUUAAUCGCUCUUGCAUUUUGUGAUUCUGUUCUUUUUCUAUUUUGAAGAGUGUCCUGUGUAAUUUUUAGGAUUUUUAUUUUAUAGUUUUUGUCGCUUGCAUUUAAACACGAACUUGGUUGUUGAACUGGGAUUCUUGAAUAAUUGUUGGUUUUGUUUUCUGAAGAAGUGAUCUUAUAUUUGUGUAUCUCUAUGUGCAACUUUAAUAUGGGGUUAUUAAGGAUGGAGAUAAAGGAGGAAGAAUUGAGAGAGAAAAGGCAGAAAUGACUUAAUUGUUGGGAUGAGUAUGACCCCAUGUCUAGUAGUUCCCAAGUAUGAUAUAGGAAGGCUGACUGAUUAAUGGAACUGAUCUUGUUGCGGUCCGUUUUAGAGUCCGGAGGAUUUAUCCGUAGGACUAUCCAUAUGGAAAGAAGGGUCCAGGUUUCAUAAGACUCCUUCUACGCGGUCUUCGCAAUAUUCUUUGCACUGGGGGAGGGCUCAAAGAAUUUGAGAUUAGAUUGGAACUGAUUGUAGUAGGCGAAGGACGGAUAUUAUUGGAAGGCAAUCGCAUAUUGAAUUGCGCCUAAGGCCACUCCUAACUAUUAAUGGAAAGGACCCACGGAGCGGUGCAAAGAAUAUAUAGAAGGGCAGACAGGUCCGGAGGACCUGUCUGUCCUUCGGUCUUAAUACUCCUAACGUCGAAUAAGAAGCUGGAGGUUGGGUCCAGGUGCAAAGAAUAUUGUGUCCAUUAGAUCCAUUGAAUUAGGCGAAGGAUUUUAUCAAGCUUAGCUUUCUGGAUUCUUCGGCGGAGUGAGGCUUUCUCUAGUAGGUCUGGAGGCACAAAGAAUGAUCGAAGGCUCCAGACCAUAAAGAAGAGAGUCGGAGGACUUCCAUUGACUUUUUCUUCCUUUCACUUCUAACUUCAAACCUUUCAUAUUCAACCUUGAAAAUAAAGGAGGGAGCGGACUACGGAGGCCAUAAGUUUGAGUUCCUCAGAUGUAUAAAAACAAGUCCUCCGGACGACCUAUCCACUGAAAGUAGCUACGUAGUCUUGUCUCCUUCCCGCGUAGUGGGCAUUGACUUCUUCAUUGAUUUUCUUCUAUCUCCCACGUAGCGGUUGAAUAUGAAAGGAAGCCCACAGAGCUGAAGAUGGAGCGGGAUAAUAAAGAAGAAAGCUCAAAAGGAGGGAGCGGACCUCAAUGAACAAGGGGAGGACUCGUUUUCAUCCUUAUGGAAGAAAAAUCUCUUUUUUUUUAUCUAAAAGACGUAGAAGGAGGCUCAAUGUCUAAUCUUUCUCUCAAAUCAAUAUCCCCCAGUGCAAAUAUUCCAGCAAUAUUCUCAAUAUGAAAAGAGCCUUUCUUCUUUUCUUAGAUAAAUGCGCUUCGUAGAUUAUGCUGAAGGAGGAGUGGGCCAUGAUCUUUGCUCCUUAAUUUCCCUAAUGGAUAGUCAUCUGGACCUUUCUUUUUAGUUCUUUGCGCUCGUCAACGCAUAUUUCAUUGCGCCUUCGCCUUCAAUGAAAUCCAUAAAUAAAUAAGGGUAGAUUUCAGACUCAAGAGGAGGGUUCCUUAUCAAUAUCAAUGAGACGGAUAGGCUUUCUUUUACAUUCCACAGGUCUGAAGGACUAUCCAUAUUAACAUGUCUGUCCUUCGCCUAACUAGUUCAUAUAGACCUUUGUUUUUCUUCCGCAGUCACUAAUAUGGAUAGUCCGGAGGACCUCCUUCAGCAUAAUCUAUGAAUGAUCGGAGCAAAGAAUAUUGCGAAAAAGAAGAAAGGAGUGCAAGCGAAAAAUAAUGGAUUGAAUAGUCCUUCGGACGAACUACCGCACUUGGGGGAUAUUGUUGAGAAAGAAUAUUGAAAAAGAAUGAUCGAAGAAUAUUGAAAAAGGACGGAGGAUAGGCUUUCUUUGAACAAUGUGGAUGUAUCAAAGAUUCCACAGGUUAAUAUGGUAGAUUUCAGACUAGUCCUUCACCUUGGAUCUGGGGACUAUUCUCUGUUCUAAUAGACAGAGGAGAGGUUCAAAGAAUAUUGAGAAUACUCGUGCAAGCGCAAUCAAUGAACAAGGUGAAAAGAAUAAAAAAAAGGCGGUCGAUGAUCAGGAAGAAAAAGUCAAAAGUCUAUCCCAUCUUCUUCGUUAGGCGCAAAGAAGAAAAACAAGGUGCAAAGAUCUAUGGCCCAAUUAUAAGGGGUCCAGAUGCACCAUAAGACUGGUCCGAAGGACUAUCCAUAUUAACCGGAGUCUUCAACAAGAUUUCCAACAUUGAAUAUUAAGCUACUGAGGCCCAAUAUUGCGAAGGAAGAACUGCGCCAUAAGACAGGUCCGAAGGACUAUCCAUUAGGGAAUGAGACGGAGGUAACGUUUGGUUUUUUGGGAAACUUGUUGGUCGCGGAUUAGUGCGUUUUUUUUGGAAAGUAACAAUUCUCUUCAGUUUGGUUUCAGAAAACUUGUUGGUCACGGAUUAGUGCGUUCUGCGCCGCCUGGUGUCACAAACAUAUUUUUCCAAAGUGUGUUUACCUUUGGUUAUAUGCUCCGAUUACCCCCAGUUUAUCUCAUGUUUAGUUUGCAUAACUAGUUUAGCUGAUUGCUUUUCAUUCUAGGUCAUAAAGCUUGGGUGUGACGUUUCGGCAUUUUCAUAUGCAAGCCUGCCAGAGAGGAAAAUGUUCAAAAUGUACUAUAGGGGAGGCAUACCAGUUGAAUCCCCGCCCAAGCAUUAGUUGUACUCUUUGCAAGCAACCCUUUUUCCUUGCAAUUGACAGUCUUUAAUGCUUAUUGUAACGUCUAUUUCAAUGUAUUUCUUUCUUUCCCGUGUUUUAUAAAUAAAAUGUCCCUAAAACGCAAACGAAGGUUACGACAUACAUCGACGUUACCCACAACUCUUGGAUAUUGAUCGACUGACUUGUUCAUCGAGUUAGAACAAGUGCCGCACAAUCGUCCGUCUCGAGGUUGAAACGCUACGGUUGUGACAAGUGGUAUCAGAGCCAAAGUUGGCUGAGUGACAGUUUUGACAAAAAUAAAAUGUCGACUGCAAAACGAGCGAGCAAGACCCAUGAAGAACGGUUGGUGGGGAUCGAAGUGCAGAUGCUCCACCUGAUGGAAGUUCCUGAUUCCAUCCGGUUCUUGGAAUAGCGGCUUGAGGAUAUUGCCAAGAAAGCUGAUGGCAUUGAAGCCGUGUCCGGUCGCCUUGACGGACUACCCAUCCAAGAGUUACUGACUAGAGUCGACACUCUAGAGUCCCGAGUUAUGAGAACGGGAAAUGUCACCUACGAGCGUGGGGACAGUUCAUCGGGCUCUGUUGCCCAGAUGGAAGAACGAGUUAUGGAGCUUGAUAACUCGCAAAAGAACAUGUUGGAGAUGAUCAGCGGCAUGACAAAGGAUUUUCGAGCAACCCUCGAUGUCGUGAGGAAUGAGCUCGCAGAGGUAAGCACGAGGGUGAACCUUACUAUGCGAGCACUAGAAAAUCAGGCUCUAGCUGGAGGAGCCAUUCCUGUGGGCAGAAUCAAGAUUCCUGAGCCCAAGCCCUUCUGUGGGCGAGAGAUGCCAAGGCGUUGGAAAACUUCAUUUGAUGUCGAGCAGUAUUUCAAAGCCACGAACACAAUUACUGAAGAGGCCAAGGUGACGUUGGCAACCAUGCAUCUGACAGAAGAUGCGAAGUUAUGGUGGAGGUCCCGAUACAUGGACAUUCAAGAAGGGCAUUGCACAAUCGACACGUGGGAUGCCCUAAAAGGAGAACUUCGUUCGCAAUUUUCCCUGAGAAUGUCGAAAUUCUGGUCCGACGGAAGCUGCGUGAAUUGAAGCACACGGGGAACAUUCGGGACUACGUGAAACAGAUUGCGGGGUAAUGUUGGAUAUACGCGACAUGAUCGAAAAAGAUAAAAUAUUCAGCUUUGUUGAAGGGUUGAAGCCAUGGGCAAGGACUAAGCUAUACGAGCAGAAAGUCCAAGACCUCGUGUCAGCCUAUGCAACAGCUGAACGUUUGUUUGAUCUGUCUAAUGACGUUCAAGAGACAAGACAUCAUUGAAGCUCUUCACCUGGAAGAGACAGAAACAGCCGACUGAGUUCUCCCGAAGCUGUCAGUAGAAAUAAAAGUCCCGGCAGAGACCGCAAGCCCUUCCAGUCAAAUACGGGGAACACCAGGCAAAGGCCCACUAGUCAAAGGACCUCCCACACUCCUAUCAGUUGCUACAUUUGUAACAGGCCACAUCGGACAAGGGAAUGUCCGGAUAAAGCGGCCUUCUACGCCUUCCAGGCCUCUCUGGCUACAGACUUAGGUGACAAGUUGGGUCAACCAGAGAAUGAAGGUGGGUAGGUGGAGGAAGUCCAAAACGUUAGAGUAGGGGCCAUAAGACUCUUGUCGUUCCUUCAGAAUAAAGCAGGGGAGACAAGUGGUCGUACAAAAGGGGGCCUAAUAUAUGUGGACACCUGGAUCAACCGAAGGCAUGCAAAGAGCACUAUGGUUGACUUCAGUGCAACCCAUAAUUUUAUAACGGUGGCGGAAGCCAGACGAUUGAACCUUCACUAGAAGAAGGAUACAGGAAAGAUGAAGGCCGUAAAUUCUACAGCUUUACCCGUCGUCGGAGUAGUGAAACGAGCGGUGAUACAGUUGGAAAGAUGGAACGACCUUGUUGACUUUGUGGUUGUGGGCAUGGAUGACUUUGAUGUAGUUCUCGGAAUGGAAUUCCUUCUCGAACAUCAAGUGAUCAUGAUGCCUGCAGCCAAAUGUCGGUGAUCACGGGAUCUACCCCCACCAUUAUGCAGAUAGAACUCCGGCAACCCAAAGGAUUGAGAAUGGUCUCGGCCAUGCAACUGAGGGAGGGCCAUAUUCAGGAAGACACAAGGCGUGUCGUGGAGAGACGUUGUGAUGGGAAACAGGAUAGUUUGCCCAUGUCAGAAUCGCCUACGAGAAAUGAUCAUCGUAUGGCGCAAUCAAAAUCAUCUGGACUCAGGAGACAGUCAAGGAGACUGUCAGGUGCAGGAUCCACUAGACCUGCGAGAGAUCCGUAUCAAGCACAAGACUUCUUACGGAAGGAAGAGAAUGGGCAAUUGUGUGUCAACAACCGUGUCCUAAAGCAAGCCCCGAGGAGAGGGCCAACUUUUGAGUCCGUGAGUGGGACUCAGCCUGUUGAAGCUUACGCUAAGGCAUAUGGUCCUGUGUCAGGUGGCAUCCUAAUGCAGAAUAGACACUCUGUCACAGCUGAGAGUCAGAAACAAAGUGCCGCAGAAGGUAGUUAUACGAUGUUUGGAAAAGGAAUGCUGACCACGAUACGUAGUCUGAAGGAUGGAAGACAACAUUCCCAGGGGUCUACACAUGGAAGAGAGACGAACAACAUUGCGACCAACCGCUUUGAUACUCGGCCGAAGUGGGCUUUGAGUCAAGAAAAGUGGCAGAGGGACGUGUCAAGGGAAUCCUUGCAGAAAAACUCUGUCAUUGAAGUUGAUGUAAGUCUGGCGGAGACCAGUCAGGUGGAAGAAAAGAAUGGAGUUCAAUUGUGGAAGCUAACCCAAUCUUAUGUUAAUGCUGCAAUGAGUUCGUCAAUGGAUGGAAACCAAUUUGUGGGUGUUUGUGGCGGACAUUCUGUACAGUCCCGCCUUGUUGGUCCCUCCUGUGUUGGUAAGAAUCCUCAAGCUUGCAACAGUACCAAGAGGUGGAAGCUGGAGUCAGACAUCGUUCGGACCGAUCGAGAGGAAGCCUCGAAGUGGCCAGAAAAGUGGGCAGAUAAGAAGCAUCGCCUCCGUGAUUCCCGUGGGGGAGACCAGGUCAUCGUCAAACGGCGAUCUGAACUGACUCAGUUUUUGAAGAAGACUUCAAGAUCACUGCCUCGUGAGAGAACGCGAGGGACAAACAGAAGUUCAAGAAGUCCUUGCUAAAGAAGCAAGGAAAAGAAGAAGACCCAUGGGGGGAUACACAAGUUCGUGGUGAAGCAGAGGAGCCUCCUCAUGGAAGAAGCCUGUGGAAGACGUACAAAUCUUCUUAUAGAUUAUGUUGAAGGAGGCGGCANNNNNNNNNNNNNNNNNNNNNNNNNNNNNNNNNNNNNNNNNNNNNNNNNNNNNNNNNNNNNNNNNNNNNNNNNNNNNNNNNNNNNNNNNNNNNNNNNNNNNNNNNNNNNNNNNNNNNNNNNNNNNNNNNNNNNNNNNNNNNNNNNNNNNNNNNNNNNNNNNNNNNNNNNNNNNNNNNNNNNNNNNNNNNNNNNNNNNNNNNNNNNNNNNNNNNNNNNNNNNNNNNNNNNNNNNNNNNNNNNNNNNNNNNNNNNNNNNNNNNNNNNNNNNNNNNNNNNNNNNNNNNNNNNNNNNNNNNNNNNNNNNNNNNNNNNNNNNNNNNNNNNNNNNNNNNNNNNNNNNNNNNNNNNNNNNNNNNNNNNNNNNNNNNNNNNNNNNNNNNNNNNNNNNNNNNNNNNNNNNNNNNNNNNNNNNNNNNNNNNNNNNNNNNNNNNNNNNNNNNNNNNNNNNNNNNNNNNNNNNNNNNNNNNNNNNNNNNNNNNNNNNNNNNNNNNNNNNNNNUACACAUUUCAGUCUAACGCCCCGAAGGACGUACAUAUCAGUCUAACGCCCCGAGGACGUACAUAUCAGUCUAACGCCCCGAGGGACGUACAUAUCAGUCAAGUGUUCUGCAGAAACACAUAUCAGUCAAAUGCUCCCGAAGGUGCAAAAUAAAUUGGUGAUCCCUACAAGGUAAACAUCCCAAUACAACCUAACAAUUUAUCCCCUCAUUCCAUUCAACCCAUCUUUCAGUUACUUCAAAUCACAAAGUCCUUUCUUUCAACAUCCUAACAGUCAACUUAUUUUACUACAAUCAUAUGUCUGUCAAUAAAAUGCUAAUACAUCAGUCAAUCCACUAUACAGUCAAGUCAAUACACCCCUCAGUUCACCAGCACAAACCACAGUUCAGUAUAAUCCACAUCCAACCGAAACAAAUUCACUAGUUCACAUCCAAUCUUUAUACAGCACAAAUCUAUUAAUAUCAUCAUGUACACAUAAGCAUAAUUUCAGUCAUUCACAAUGUAUACUUUUGGCAAUCCACAUGCAAUUCACACAUCAAUGUAACAUAUAUAUGUUUCCAGUCAAAUACAACAUACACUAAACAUUUAGUCUGCAAUCAAACAUGUACAUCUUAAUCAUCAUCCAUACAGUCCAUCCAACACAAACUCAAAAACUUUAGGUGAGGUCCAGUAGAAAGUCCCUUACCUCAAAGUUAGGGAAGCUCCUUAAUCAACUAACGUCCUCGAAACAAUCCGAUAUAUUUGGCGAACUGAACCCUCAACAAUUCACAAAAUUGGUUGUGAAUUUAUAGGGAGCCCAACGUUACUCCCAACACCUUCAAGAACCAAUUAACAAAUUAGCUAAACAUUCCAACCAUAACACUUGAAACCACUUUGAAACCAAUUACCAUUCAUACUUAAGUUGUUACCAACAAAGCAACCUCGAUAAAAUUUGUAAAACAGAGACAGCAGCACACCUCAACGCACGACUGUCAGACUCGCAGCAAAAAUCCUAAGUGUGGGUCGGUCAGCGGUCGGCCAAAGGAGACGUGGCGGCUGCCUCAAAAUCGAUCAACGAUCUGACGCGGUCGGAGAGUCGCGCGGCAGUGCAAAAAAUAGAGGAGAACGGAAUGGGCGGCGGCUCGAAACAGAGGUUGCGCGGCAGGGCUCCACGAAGACAGAACCAGCAGAGACGGUUGCAGAACCGUGGCUUCGACGGAGACAAAACCGGCGGAGACGGUUGCAGCGGCGGUUACUGCGCGAACGGAGAGAAGGAAACGGAUGGGGCGGCUGGGCUACGGCGGGAAGAGAACGGAAGAGAAAGGAUCGGUGGCGGUUGCGGCUGGGCUGCGACGGGAAGAAAACGGAAGGGAGAAGAGAAAAGAGAAAGGAAAAGAGAAGAGAACGGGGGGGGGGGGGGGGGGGGUCGCGGCGCGCUUGAGGGAGAGAGAAAGAGAGAGUUUUUCUUUUUUUCUUCUUUCUUUCUUUAUUUUUUCUUUUUCCUUUUUAUUAAAAUUAAAUAUAAAUAAACAAAUAUAUAUAUCUCACGGUUAAUAUAUAAAACUAUUAUAAAUGUAAACAAGAUGUGAUAUAUAUAUAUAAUAAAUCACAUAUACAACCUAUUAUAUCAUGCGAUAAUAUUCUAAAACUAGUAUAAUCAUAAAUAGUAUGUGAUAUAUGUUUAAAGGGAAUAUUAAAAAACUGGUAAAAUCAAAAUAGAAUAACAUUAAAAUAAGAGGAAUAUUGUUAAUAUAUAUUAUAUAUACGCGUAUGAUAUACUCAGAAUGAACUAGUUUUAAAUGGACAAAAUAACAAAUGACUGUGGAUUUUAUCUUAUUUUCAGGUGAUGGACAAUUGUAUAUGAUGGCGAUUUGUUAAGAUUCUGCAGCUUGCGGUUAUGAUAAAUUUGAAUACAAAUUUAUAAAACAAUGUAAUAAGAAGUUCAAAUGAUGGAGAAGAAUAGCAAAAAAAAGUUGUCGGCGAUGGAGAAGAUAAUGUAAUGGCUGCCAGAGAGAGUGAACAAUUAGGUUAAGUUAUAUUUUUAGAAAGAAUAAUUAAAUAGUUUAUUACAAAAUAAAGUAAAAUUACAAUUAUUAUAAUAUAUUCUGAUUUAUAAUUAAUUUAAAAGAUACUUGAAAUUUAUUAACAUAUUAAGGUCUUUUGUCUAAAAGUUUCAACUAAUAAUAAUGAUAGUUCUCAUUAACCAAUUGACAAAUGAUUGAUAUUGUCAAAUGAUCGAUAUGUGCAAGUGCACAUUUCAAUUAUAAUAUAGUAAAACGUUCUUAGAGAUCGAGCUAGUAUCCUUUUAAGAGGGAUCAAAUUAACAAAUUAAUUUAUUGAUUUUAGGAUUAGGAUGUGUUUUAAGGAUUAAAAACAAUGAUUAGAAACUAAUAAAAAGAUCCCUAAAAGACAAAUAUGAAAUCUCAAAGAAUAAAAAAUGCUCCAAAAUUGUUUUUGAUUUCACUGUUCAAUCCAUAAAAUCAUGAUGUGUAUAGGUUAUAUGAAAACUAGUGUCAGUAUGUGUUCAGAUGUAGGAACUAAUUAACUACAAGUUGUUGACUUUUGAAAAGAAUAUCUUUCCAUUCAAACAUAAUUGUUCCUAAUCUCUUCCAACUAAGUUAAAUAUUAUGGUAUUAAACAGAUACAUAGUUUGGUUGGUAGUUUCUCUUCAAAAUUAUUAUUUUGAGAAAACAAAUACAAUUUCUUUUUUAGGUAAUCCAAUAUCCUCGAGUAUAUUUAUAAAUAUGGAAAUAUUAUUUCCAUAUUAGAAGAGAUACUAAAAGAUCUUAUUACAACAUCAUUAGAGUCCCAUCAUUUUCUCUAAAUAUCUCUUUUGUGGUGAAAGAUUUGGAAUUGCACAUCAAUCAUUUUGGAGUGGGUAAUUGAUCACCCUAUUUUUCAAAAAAUAAGAAAGAUAAAAAUAGUUAUUUUUUAAAAGAUAUAUUUGAAAGUGUUGAGUUUAUGGAAGGUAUUAGUACUUAUACAACCACAAGACAUUUGAUUUUUGUUAUCUAAAUUAUUUUAAUAAAAAUGUUUUUUUUUUUUUUGAAGUUUAUGCUUAUUAAAAAUGCUUAUUUAAAAAAUGUUAAUGAAAUUUUAAAAAAUAAAAUCUAAUUAAACACUUUUGAGAUAGAGAGGUUUCCCUUGACUACCCGAGCGUAGAUAAACACUUCUGAGAUUUGGUUGGUAAUCCCAAGUUCGUGUGCAGUUGAUUAUUUUUUAAAUUUUGUAUAGUUGAAUAAUAUUUGAAUUUUAAAUUUUCAUCUAUGUGAUAUUUACUCAUUUCAAACUUUUUGAAUAUGCAUGUUUAUUUAUUAUUCUGCCGUCUCUCUAUUGUAUUUUAAAAUUUAGAAUAUGUGUAUUUAUAUUAUUUGAAAUUGAAAAUUUAACUUUUGCUCUUACACUAGGCUUUAACUCUUUGUUUGUCCGUGUUGUAGGUGAGAGAGAAGGAAAAGUUCCAUUGUUUGAUUGAAUUGGAAUUGUUUCCUGCAUGGGGUGUCAUACAUAAUCCACUUAUUACUAGUUAAAGGUCUUCUUUGCCUCUGUCUUCUUCCCCAUCUCCCCAAGUUGUUCUAACCUUUUUAUAUCUACCUAUUACAUGUCAAAAGGCGGAUAAUUUCGCUCUUCAAUGUUUUGAAACAAGUUCAUUAUGAAAAUCUCUCACAAGCAAACGUCAAUGUGCAUUAUGAAUAAUUUCAUCUCAAAAAAAUUGUUUGAGAGGUUUCAAAAGUGUAUCGAAACUAAUAAUUUUAAUGAAUAAAAAAAUAAUUCUUCGUUAGAUUCUUACAUUUUAUUUCAACCAAUAAAAUUUAGGAGAAUUUUUAAAAAUAGCAAAUUUUACAAAAAAUAUUUACAAUUUAUAACAAAUUUAUAGUCAUUGAUAUGCUAUAACGAUAGUUACUAGUAAAUAUUUUAAUUUAUUUUGUUAUUUUAAAAAAUGCUCAUAAAAUAUUAUAGUGAGGGAACAAUGAUGAAUCACAUAGUUCUUGUGGUGAUGUCGCUUUUUCUCCCUCUUUACAUUCUAAAAUCUCAAAUACAAAUCAUAAAACAAGUAGAUAUACAUUCAAUUAACAUGAUUUUGAUUCUAAUAAAUUAGAAAAGACAAAAAUAACUAACUAAUUAUGGAAAAGUAAUAUUUUAACAUGAAUUAUUGAUUUUUAAUUAGAGGUAAUUUUAAAAUAAAUAAAAUAAAAGAAAAUAUUACAAAUCAAAUCUAAACUAACUUUGAUUUUACUUCUUUAAUUGCAAUAUAACAUAGAUACAUUGGCUAUGAAGUGCAAUUUCUUAUAUUAUAAUAUUUAAAAGAUUUAAAUUUAAAAAUAAAAAUAAGUAAUCUCAAGUCCAAUAUUGGACCCGUGGGGCUUAGCCCAUCAAUUUAAAAAUUCAAAAUGCACACUCAACGGUCACAUUUUCCUAGGAUCAUCCUAUUUAAUGCCCUUCUACUUGUCAACUCCAUCGAAAUCCUUCAUUUCUUGUGGCACCGUCUAAAAUUUGCUUCGAUUGAAGAAAUUUUGACGCCCAUGACAGCGUUGAAAUUUCUUCAAUGCAAACAAAUUUUUUAUCUUCCUUUCAUCGAGGAUUUUCAUACCAUGUGAAGGAGAGAUCAGUUCCAUCAGUUCCAAGUCGUUCGUGAGUCAUCUUCUUUCCUGUGUAGUUUUCAUCUCUUGAUUUUGGAUUGCUUGUUCAAGAUUUAUUUUCGAAUUUUGGAUUGUUUGCUAUUCGGAUAGGCAGAAGGUUUGCACGAUGAUAGAUCUGGAGUACCUGAAUCGUUUAUUGAUUCUGUAGUUUAAUCUUAUGAUUUUGGUGAUUUCGAAGCGUACAAUAUAAUCGUACUGUGUUAUGAAGUAAAUAAGAUUUUGUAGGGUUUUUGAAAGUUAAUUUAGAUAUUUCCUGCAUUUUAGUCUUGAUAGAUCUGGGGUACCUGAACCGUUCAGGUUUGCAUGCUGUGAUUGUGUUGUUCUUUUUUGAUUUUGGAGAGAGUCCUUGGGUAAUUUUGAGGAUUGUUCUUUUUUUAGUUUUUUUUUGCAUGCAUUCAAACACACGCAUGGUUUUUAAACUGGGGUUCUUGAAUAUUUGUCGGUUUUCUCGAAUAUUUGCCGGUUUUUUUUUCUCAGAAGAAUUGAUCUUAUAUUUGUGUAUCUCUCUGUGCAACUUUAAUAUAAAGUUAUUAAGGAAGAAGAGAAAGGAGGAAGAAGGGAGAGAGAAAAGGUAGAAACGACCUAAUAGUAGGCAUGAGUAUUAAGAUGCAGCAGAGCCACCACUUAGUGGCGCUAAGGUUUAAUGAGCAAAUUGACAGUAGAAAAGGGUCCACAUCCAUACCUAAGUUACUAUUGCUCUGGGUUCUGUUGGUGGCAUUCAUUAGUAUGUUAAACUACAAAGAAAUGGAUGGGUGGUGUUAACAAAGUUAGAAGAAAGUAAGUUCUGGGAAGUAUGUGUGACCAGACGACAAAGAUGCUUCUGCCUCAACUUAGUGUCAGUGUCAAACUAUGUCCAGGCUUUGGCCAUUCUCAUUUCCAUUUUCCAGUACUUCAAAAUCGUAUCAGCAAUUGAUCAGGAAAAUGUGUUUCGAUUUCUGUCUUUUAUUAGUCUCGGUUAGUUAGGCUUAAGAGUAAGGGAUAUAAUUCAUUUUUCUUGUUUCAGCUAGAAAUUACGUCGAUGUCUUGAUUUUUAGUUUUUUUAGGGCUGUUUGGUUGUUUUUUUAGGGGUGUUUGGUUAGUUAGGCCUAAGAAGUAAGGGCUAGUGAAAGAGAAGCAUUUGAUUGUCCUACAAGUAUCUGAAUCGCCAAUGAAAGCAGAGGUUAUUUCCUCUGAAUUUCCACGAAUUGUUCAGGUUUGGAUUCUGUGAUUGUGUUGUUCUGUUGUUCUCUUUUUUAUUUUGGAGUGUUCUAGGAAAUUUUGAGGUUUGUUAUUUUUUAGUUUUUUUGGCUUGCCUUUAAUCACGCUCGUUUGGGAAUAGACAGGCUUCAGAGAAUGAAUCUCCUUUUUAAGGGUUCGUUGGGGAGCGAAGUGACCAUAUGGCAUCCCUUUCUGCACCUGCUCAGUCUCUCUCUUGCCUUUUUCAUACUACAUAUUUUUGUUUCUCAAUUUAGUGUCAGUGUCAACCAUGUCUAUGCUUUGGCCAUUCUCAUUUCCACUUUCCACUACUCUAAAAAUGUAUCUGCAAUUGAUCAGGUAAAAGUGUUUCAAUUCUCUGUCUUUGGUUCAUCUCCGUUAGUUAGUCUUAAGAGUAAGGGAGAUAAUUCGUUUUUCUUGUUUCCCUCCAUGUAUUGAUUUUUAGUUUUUUAGGGAUGCUUGGUUGGUUUGAAUGCACGAAACAUUUGCUGGUACACGAUUCAAACAGCUUGCCCAGUCAUGUUUUUCUAUUUUUUUUUAAUAUUUUGGAAUUUUGCAUGUGUGAUUUCUGUAUAUAUUAUUCUUGCCCUUUUCCUUUAUCAUCAUUUAUUUUGAUUUUGGAGAGGUCUCUUGGUUAUUUGUUAUUUGCACAUAUACAAGGGUUGAAAAUUUCAAUCCCACCUCUCUUUUAUAUUACAUUCAUUUAGUUUUGGCUGUUAUCUAAUUGAACUAUUUGAUCAUCAAAUAAUUGUGUUACCUUUUCUUCUAGAUGUUUAGAUUCAUUUUUCUCACUAUUUUAGUUUUCUUAAUGUGCGACAGUCUUUGUUUUUUAUUGAACUAUUGUGUGGCAGUCUUUAUUUAUUGGUUAUCUUUAGUUUCACUAUUGUUCUUUUUUUAAUGUUUUCUUAGUUUUUAAUAAGUGUGACAAAAUAUGAAUUAAUUUUUUUCUUUGAACAAAUGUGGAAUUUAUUUUCUUUUAAUGUAGUUGUGUCCCCAAUAAAUUUAUUUUGGCGAUUUAACAAUCCAUCAUGUUCUUUUUCAUUUUUCUGUUGUAUUUUCUUGGUUCUUUGUUGUGGUAUGUCUAUUUUUGAGACAUUCUUAAUUUAGUUUUAUUUCUUUUAGCUUCCUGCAUCAUUUUGUAUUAUGGAUUGUUAUGAAAUUUUGAGAUUAUGCUUUAUUUUGUUUUUUGGUCCUUUGCUGUGAUGUCUUUUGAUUAUUUCUUUUGAGUGAACAGUUCAUGUAAGAUUUUCUGCAUGAGAAUAAAUUGAUUAUUUAAUUUGGUCAAAGAAGUUCAAAAUUUACAUGUGAAAUUUACACUCAGUGGCUGUAAGGUUUAAUGAGAAAAUUGGAAGUAGAAAAGAGUCCACAUUAAUUCAUUCAGCCAAGAGGGCUUGGCAUCCUAAGUUUGCUCUGGGUUCUGUUGGUGGCAUUCAUCAAUAUGUUAAUCUAUUAGGGAAUGUAUGGUUAUAACAAAGUAAGAAGAAUGGAAGUUCUGGGGGAGUAUUUGUGACAAGAGGGCAAGGAUGCUUCUGCAUCAAUUUAGUGUUAGUCAAUCAUGUCUAUGCUUUGGCCCUUCUCAUUCCACUUUCCACUACUACAAAAAUGUAUCUGCAAUUGAUCAUGUAAAAGUGUUUCAAUUUUCUGUCUUAGGUUCAUCUCAGUUAGUUAGUCUUAAGAGUAAGGGAGAUAAUUCAUUUUUCUUGUUUCAGCUAGAUGUUACCCUCCAUGUCCUGAUUUUUAAUUUGGCUUCCUAAGUGUGCUCUAGGUUCUGUUGGUGGCAUUCAUCAGUAUGUUAAUCUACAGGUGAAUCUAUAGUUAUAACAUAGUAAGAAGAAUGGAAGUUCUUGGGGAGUUUGUGUGACAAGAGGGCAAGGAUGCUUCUGCAUUAAUUUAGUAUCAGUGUCAACCAUGUUUAUGCUUUGGCCAUUCUCAUUUCCACUUUCCACUACUCCAAAAAUGUAUUAUCUGCAAUUGAUCAGGUAAAAGUGUUUCAAUUUUCUGUCUUUGGUUCAUCUCAGUUAGUUAGUCUUAAGAGUAAGGGAGAUAAUUCGUUUUUCUUGUUUCAGCUAGAUAUUACUCUCCAUGUCUUGAUUUUUAGUUUUUUAGGGGUGCUUGGUUGGUUUGAAUGCAGGAAACUUUUGCUGGUACACGAUUCAAACAGCUUUCCAUGUCAGGUUUUUCUAUUAUUUUUCUUUAAUAUUUUGGAACAUGUGUAAUUUCUGUAUAUAUUAUUCUUGCCGUUUUCCUUUUUCAUCAUUUAUUUUGAUUUUGGAGAGGGUCUCUUGGUAACUUGACUUUUCUUUUAGUUUUGACUGUUAUCUAAUUGAACUAUUUGAUUAUCAAAUAAUUGUGUUACUUUUUGUUCUAGAUGUUUAUAUUCAUUUUUCCCACUCUUUUAGUUUUGUUAAUGUGUGACAGUCUUUGUUUUUCAUUGAACUAUUGUGUGGCAGUCUUUAUUUAUUGGUUAUCUUUAGUUUCACUAUUGUUCUUUCUUUAAUGUUUUUCUUAGUUUUUAAUAAGUGUGACAAAAUAUGAAUUUAUCUUUUUCUUUGAACAAAUGUGGAAUUUAUUUUUCUUUUAAUGUAGUUGUGUCCCCAAUAAAUUUAUUUUGGCGAUUUAACAAUCCAUAAUGUUGUUUUUCAUUUUUCUGCUGUAUUUUCUUUGGUUCGUUGUUGUGCGAUGUCUAUUUUUGAGACAUUUUUAAUUUAGUUUUAUUUCUUUUAGCUUCCUGCAUCAUAUUGUAUUAUGGAUUUUUUCGAAAAUUUGAGUUUGAUCUUGUUUUUCUGGUCCACUGCUGUGCAGUUUUUUUUAUGAGAUAUUUUUAUUUAGAUUUAUUAUCUUUUAGCUUGUUUUGCAUUUUGCAUUAUAGAUUAUUUUUUAAAAUUUUGAGGUUGUUUUUUUUCUUUGAUCUUUUGUUGCGGUGACAAUUUUAAUUUAGAUUUAUUAUCUUUUAGCUUGCUUGCAUUAUGGAUUGUUAUGAAAUUUGCUUUAUUUUGUUUUUUGGUCCUUUGCUGUGAUGUCUCUCUAUAAGACAUUUUUAAUUUAGGUUUAAUAACUUUUAGCUAGCUUGCAUUGUGGAUUGUUAUGAAAUUUUGAGUUUCUGCUUUCUUUUGAGUUUUGGUGAUGCCUUUUUACGAGACAUUUUUAAUUUAGGUUAAUUUUUUAGGUUGCUUGCAUUUAUGGAUUGUUCUGAAAUUUUGACUUUCUGCUUUUGUUUUUUAUGUCAUUUGUUGUGUGAUAUUCUCUUUAUAAGAUAGAGAUAUUUUUAAUUUAGGUUUACUAUUUUUUAGCCUGCUUGCAUUUGGUAUCAUAUAUGAAUUGUUCUGAAUUUUGAGUUUCUUAUUUUUCAGUCAUUUGUUGUGCGAUAACUUUUUAUAAGACAGACAUUAAGAUUUAUUAUUUUUGGACUUGUUUGUAUUUUGUAUCACGGAUUGUGGUUUUUUAAAUUCAGAGGAGGAACUAGAAAUUGUUCUUGUGAUAUGUUAAAAUCUAGUUUACUGCAAAGAAUGAAUUCUAAAACAGAGGGUAUGAAUAUCGUCAAUAAUUUUUCUCCAUUUGUGCGUUGAGCAAUGUUUAGCUGAUAUGUUUGUGUAUUCUUUACAUUAGUGCAGCACCACAUGCUAAUUUAGGUGUGAAAUGCUAAUUUAGAUGUGAAACACUUCCAAAGAUGACGAGAAAUCAAAGAUUGUCGUAGUAAAAAACCUCACCAGUUUUUCCUUUCAGGUUUUUCUUUUCUUUUUCUUUAAUAGUUUGGAAUUUUGCUGGUGUGAUUUCUGCUUUUCUCUUAUCAUUUAUUUUGAUUUUGGAGAGCAACUUUGGUAAUGUUAAGGUGAUUUAAGAAAAGUUGGUUGUCCAAGAAUCAAUAUUUUUAUAUUACCUUAAAUCUUCCUAAGACAUGUUGGGUCUUUCUUUGGCCUUUGUUAGUGUCUUCUAUUAAGUCUGUUAGUUUCACUUUAGUUGGGUCUUUUUUUAAUUUUAUUUUAUCUUUUAAAUUCCAAAUCCUACUCAUUUGGUCAUGACGAUUGAAUAAUCAUUGUUAAAUUUAUUUCUUGUUGGGAGUGUAGAUUUUAUUUUCUUUUUGGCCUUUGUUAUUUGCAUCUAUACAGGGGUUCGAAAAAUUCAAACCCUUCCCUCUUUUAUUCGACAUUCUUUUAGUUUUAUUUGUACUAUUGGAUUGUUAAAAACAAUUGUGUUACUAUUUCUUACAUUCCAUAAAGAACCCUUUCUGAUGAAUUAUUUCUUAUUGAACUGUUUUAAAAUUUUGAGUUUCUUCUUUUUCUUUUUUGGGUCCAUUGUUGGGGGAUGAUACAUCUUUAAUUUUUUUUUUUUUUUGAUAAGAGAUGAUACAUCUUUAAUUUAGAUUUAUUAUCGUUAGCUUGUUUUGCAUUUUGUAUUAUGUUUUUUGAAAUUUUGAGUUUCUUCUUUUUCUUUCUUUGGUCAUGUGUUGUGCGAUGUUAUUUGCAUUAGGGGUGUUUGGUUGGUUGUUUUUUUAGGGGUGUUUUGGUUAGUUAGGCUUAAGAAGCAAGGGCUAGUGAAAGAGAAGCAUUUGAUUGUCCUACAAGUAAUAAGCUUCUCCUCAAUCAUUCAACCAUUUUUUUAGUAAAGAAAGAGGCUUCUCCUCUGGCAACCAAAGUCCGUCCCUCGUUAACAGGUAAGUCUACCCCAUUACUUUUUAUGUCCUUUUAAUUAAGAUAUUUGGGUCAAUAUAUAUCAAAAUAAAUAAGAUCCAUCUUUGGUAAUUUUUAAAAAAUUUAAAUCUAUAAAUACUCAUUUCAUCUCUAAAAUUAUGUGAUUUGUACUUUCUAAAAUUCCCUCGAUGGUACUAAUACACUCUUAUAUUUGUAUUGUAAUUAUCAUGUCCUUUUUCUAUGGUUUUUUAAAGUUAAUUUAGAUCCUUAUUCGCUCUAGGUAUAAGUUGAAUGGAAGAGUUUUUUAGCCUUGAUAGAUCUUGAGUACCUGAAUCGCCGAUGAAACAGAGGUUAUUUUCUCGGAAAUUCCACGAAUUGUUCAGGUUUGGAUUCUGUAAUUCUGUUGGUUCUUUUUUGAUUUUGGAGUGUGUCCUGGGUAAUUUUGAGGAUUAUUAUUUUUUUGUUUUUUUGGCUUGCAUUUAAUCACGCACGUUGGGGAAUAGACAGGCUUCGGAGAAUGAAUCACCUUUUUAAGGUUUCGCUGGGGAGCGAAUUGGCCAUAAGGCAUCCCUUUCUGUUCAGUCUCUCUCUUGCCUUUUUCAUACUAUAUGGUUGUUGAACUGGGGUUAUUGAAUGAUUGUUGCUUUUAUUUUCAUAAGAAGUGAUCUUAUAUUUUUGUUUCUCUCUGUGUAACUUUAAUAUGAGGUUAUUAAGGAAGGAGAUAAAGGAGGAAGAAGGGACGGAGAAAAGGAAGAAAUGACUGGAUUGUUGGGAUGGGUAUGAAGAUGCAGUAGAGCCACCACCUAGGGGCUGUAAGGUCUAAUGGGCAAAUUGAAAGUAAAAAAGAGUGCACAUCCAUUCAAGCUAAGAGAGCUUGGAUUCCUAAAUUACUAUUGCUCUGGGUUCUGUUGGAGGCAUUGAUUGGUAUUGUUAAUCUACAAGGGAAUUGAUGGUGUUAACAAAGUUAGAAGAAAGGAAGUUUUGGGCGUAUGUGUGACCGGAGCACAAAGAUGCUUCUGCAUCAAUUUACUGUCAGUGUUAAACUAUGUCCAUGCUUUGGUUAUUCUAUUUUAUACUUUCCACUCCUCUCGAAAUGUAUCAACAAUUGUUUAUGUAAAUGUGUUUCGAUUUCUGUUUGAUACUUCUCAGUUAGUUAGGCUUAAAAGUAUGAGAGAUAAUUCAUUUCUCGUCUCAUAUAGAAAUUAUCUUGAUGUCUUGAUUUUUAGGGUUUUUUUCAGCGGUUUUUGGUUUUUUUAUUUUUUUGUUGGAUUUUGGCUAGUUAGGCUUAGAGGUGCAAGGACUUGUGAAAGAGAAGCAUUUGAUUGACCAACGAGUAAUUAGUUUCUCCUCAAGCAUCCCACCACUUUUCUAUUAAAGAAAUACAGGUACGUCUACGCUAUUACUUUUCAUGUCCUUUUACUUAAGAUAUUUAUAUAAAUAUAUAUAAAAAUAAAUAAGAUCCAUCUUUGGUAAUUUUUUUUAAAAUCAAAUCUGUGGAUAUUCAUUUCAUCUCUAAAGUUUUGCGUUUUGUUACUUUUUAAAAUUCCCUCCAUGUCACUAUUACACUCCUAUAUUUGUGUUGUAAUUAUGAUGUCCUUUUUCUAUGGUCUGUUAAAGUUAAUUUAAAUCCUUUUUUGCUCUUGGUUUAUGUUGAAGAAAUGGAAGAUUUUUUUAGCCUUAAUAGAUCUGGAGUACCUUAAUCGCUCUUGCAUUUUGUGAUUCUGUUCUUUUUCUAUUUUGAAGAGUGUCCUGAGUAAUUUUUAGGAUUUUUAUUUUAUAGUUUUUGUCGCUUGCAUUUAAACACAGACUUGGUUGUUGAACUGGGGUUCUUGAAUAAUUGUUGGUUUUGUUUUCUGAAGAAGUGAUCUUAUAUUUGUGUAUCUCUAUGUGCAACUUUAAUAUGGGGUUAUUAAGGAUGGAGAUAAAGGAGGAAGAAUGGAGAGAGAAAAGGCAGAAAUGACUUAAUUGUUGGGAUGAGUAUGACCCCAUGUCUAGUAGUUCCCAAGUAUGAUAUAGGAAGGCAUAGAGUCAAGGCCUUGUCUGACUCUAAUAGAAGUAAGUAGCUAACGCAACGCAAUAUUCUUUGCACCUUCAGUCUGUGAAUUUGAGGUGUAAGAGUUUGGCCAGAGGAGCUAGUCUCGUAACUGCGGGCGCAGUUCUAGUUCUUUACAAGACAGAUGGGAACGGUAGCUAACAAGUGUGCCCUGAGUGGAAUCCUACCACUACUCUUUCUACUAUAUUGGCAGGACGGGUGCCAAGUUAUUAGUAGCUAGGCAGCUAAGCCAGUAGUAGUUCAGUUCAGGCGCUGUUCUCAAAUCUAGUUGACUACGUUGUAGCGUAGCGGUACGGGACAGGAAAAGAAUUGAUAGCGGUACACUGAACACAAAGAAAUUUGAUAGACAUAUGUUGAGAGUUCGACAAGUAGCACUGAAUCUACUAUCAGUAGUGAUUUAUAGAAGUUGACUCGCUUAAACGAAGAGAGUGAACAAAGCAUAGCGGAGUGAAGAGAGAAAUGGUUUCAUUAGAUAGCUCUCUCGAUGUCCUUGUUAUCUUUCCUAGGUAGAUUGUGACUUAUUCAUUCUUUCUCGCUGACUCUGGUUUCCCCGCCGUGGAUCCUUUCUCGGUUAGGGCCUCCCCUAUCCUUAUUCAUUGAUCGCUCUCUUUGCCGCGAAUCUCGGCAUGGUGGUCCUUCGCCUCGCAAUAUUCUUUGCUCCUCCUUCCUGGGCUUGAUGGGUACAUCAAGCAUAUCGGCAUCUUGCUUCUUUGGUGUGGUACACAUAUCUAUCAAUGAAAAGAAAGUAAUAGAAUUCAUUCCCGCAUACUCGCAUAUUGAAUUGCGCCUUCAGACCAUCAAAGAAAGGUCCAGGGUCUGGAGUCCGCAGGAUUUAUCCGGAGUCCGAAGGAUUUAUCCGUAGGACCAUCCAUAUGGAGGGAAGUAGUCCGGAGGAUUUAUUCGUAGGACCAUCCGUAAUUAACAGAAGUAGGACUAUCCAUUAUCCUUCAUCCGGAGUCCGCAGGAUUCUUAUCCGUAGGACUAUCCAUAUGGAAGUAGGACUUGUUUUUAACCAAUCUGAGGAACUCAAACUUAUGGCCUCCGUAGUCCGCUCCCUCCCUUUAUUUUCAAGGUUGAAUAUGAAAGGUUUGAAGUUAGAAGUGAAAGGAAGAAAAAGUCAAUAGAAGUCCUCCGUCUCUCUUCUUUAUGGUCCGGAGCCUUCGAUCAUUCUUUGAGCCUCUAGACCUACUAGAGAAAGCCCCACUCCGCGGAAGAACCUAGAAAGCUAAGCUUGAUAAAGUCCUCCGCCUAAUUCAAUGGAUCUAAUGGACGCAAUAUUCUUUGCACUUGGACCCAGCCUCCAGCUUCUUAUUCGACGUUAGGAGUAUUAAGACCGAAGGACAGACGGGUCCUUCUAUAUAUUCUUUGCACCGCUCUGUGGGUCCUUUCCAUUAAUAGUUAGGAGUCUUAAGACCUCAGUCCUAUCCAUAUUAACCCGCGCUAAGUUCCAUUAAGAGAAAAUUCUUUGCUCUCUGCGACUCGAAGUAAUAGUAUUCAACAAUAUCCCUGUCUUAUGGCGCCUCGCAUAAAUACGGCUUCGAUCAUUCUUUGAGCCUCCGUCGCAAGUCAAAUUCUCUAAUGGAUAGGCCUUCUCCUUCGCCUAUAAAUUCCCAUAUUAAGCUACGAAAUAAAGAAAGCACUACGCGGGAAGAACUGAUCAAUGAAAUUUGAUUGAUUGAAUUUCAUCAUAUCAUAUUUGAAAAAGAAAGAAUAUUGAGGUGCAAAGAAUAUAUAGAAGGCGCAAAGAUCUAAAAAGAAAGGUCCAGAUGACUAUCCAUAUUAACCCAGAGAAAGUUCAGUCAGUUUCAGUGGAAUAAAGGGAAAGCCUAUCCAACAACAUUUCAGUGGAAUAGGAGAAAGGAAGUCCUCCGCUCCGUUGGAGUUGAAUUGGUCCUACGGGAAGAAAAUCAAUGAAGAAGUCAAUGCCCACUACGCGGGGUUAAAGUGAAAGAGGAAAGCCACUAAAAACCUCAAAAUAAUACGGAAAGCCUAGCCUUCUACGGCCUCCAAACAAAAAAAGCUUUACUAGACUCAAAUUCUUUGAGCCUCCGGAGCCUCAAAAAUAUAGCUUAAAGGAAGAGGUGCAAAGAAUAUUGCGUGAUUGAUGCCUCCGUCUCUCUGAUUUAUGGUUAUGGUUCUCCUGAACCUACUCCCUACGGCAAGGCAGAAGACUGCCAAACAGAAGAAAGCCUAGGAGAAGACAACUCCUAGAAAGUUUAAAAGUGGAAUCAAAUAACUAAGAACGAAGAUUUGUUGGGAAGGAAAGCCUUCAUAAGUACUUUCGUCUUAUUUUUAGUCCUCUUUCAUUGAUCUAUCUUGAUGCCAAGAAGAAACUUCAGGAUUACUAACAAUGAACAAGGGAAGCACUACGCGGAAGUUUCAGUUCCUCAGUCGGAAUAUGGACCUCGCAUAUUUCAUUGUGCCUUCUCUCCUUUCAGUCGAGCCCUCAGUCCUAUCCAUCAGUCGAGCCCUCGGGGAGCCUUGAACUUCCUUUAACUGCUUUCCUAUUCCUUUCACUUUUUCUGACUUUACCCUCUCUUUAUUCCGCUCCGUCUUCUUGAAUGAAUCUCAAUUGCAGACUUCUACGUCUUCUGUUUUAUUUUAGUAGGCUCUCUUCUUUUUCAGACGAAGGAUUCUCCCGCUCCGUGGGGUCUUGGACGAGGAUUCUCCCAAGAACCUAACAAAAUACUGAAGAAAGCCAAUCUAGAGACUGAAUACGAGAAACUGAAAGGAGAAAAGCCUAUGAUUUUCAGCAAGCAUUCUUGGAAAGUAACAAUUCUCUUCAGUUUGGUUUUGGAGAACUUGUUGGUCGCGGAUUAGUGCGUUCUGCGCCGCCCGGUGUCACAAUCGUAGUCCUUCAAACAAGAUGUGAACGAUUGUGCGGCACUUGUUCUAGCUCGACGAACAAGUCAGCCGAUCAAAAUCCGCAAAUCGCGGACAACUUUAACACAUGCUUCAACCUCCCCUCACGUUCUUGGAAAAUAUUUUUAGAAAACGUGAAAGAUGAUUAAAUUGAUUGAAAACAUUGUUAAAACAAGCAUUGAAGACUGUCAAUUGCAAUAAGAAAGCAUAGGUUGCAAAGAGUACGACAAGGCUUGGGCGGGGAUUCAACAAGUAUGACUCCCCUAUAGUACAUUUUUAACAUUUUCAUCUCUGGCAGGCUUGCAUAUGAAAAGUGCCAAAACGUCACACCCAAGCAUAUCGACUUGAAAUUGAAAGCAACUACCUAAACUACAUACAAGACAUAAAGACAAGAUAAAUUGGGGCUAAUUGGAGCAUACGGCCAUAGGUAAACACACCUUGGACAAGUAUGUCCGUUACAUUCUCCUCCACCUAAACAGUUGACGUCCCUGUCGACUGGUGAAGCUUGAACUCCUCGAUCUUCUGCGCCUCGGCUUCUAGGUCUUCGACACGUUCCCAACUGGUUUCUUCCACAGGAAGGUUCUUCCACUUUACCAGGUACUCGUGGAUCCUUCUUGUGGGUCUUCGGCCCUUCCUCACUCGUUCGGUCAAGAUUUCUUCAACUUCUUUACUCUCCUUCUGGCUGAGGUUGAUGGCCGGUCGGACUAUGGCAUUACGUUGCAUGUCAUCAGGAUCUUGGUAGUAGGGCUUCAAAUUACUCACAUGAAUUACUGGGUGGAUUUUCAUCCAUGUGGGCAACGCUACUUUAUAAGAUGUGUUCCCUACCUUCUUCAGCACUUCCACUGGUCCCUCGUACUUUCUUAGGAGGCGUUGGUCCUUGCGUCCUCGGAACCGAAUCUGUCCUGGUCGUAACUUAAUGAGAACCUGAUCUCCGACCCGCAACUCUAGAGGGCAGCGCUUCUUGUCUGCCCACUUCUUCAUCCGCUUCGAGGCUUUCCCUAAAGAGGCUCGAGCGAUGUCUGUCGUCUGCUUCCAUUCUCUGGUAAAAUUGUGAGCUUGAGGGUUCUUCCCCGCAUAGGGGUGAUCAACAAGGUGUGGCAGAACUGGUUGCCUUCCGCAAACAAUUUCAAAAGGGCUCUUUUCAGUUGACGAGCUUGUCUGAGCGUUAAAACAAAACUGGGAGACAUCCAACAACUGAGCCCAAUUUCUUUGCCUCGCAGUAACAAAAUGGCGCAAGUAUUCUUCGAGCAUACAGUUGAACCGCUCGGUCUGACCGUCCGUUUGGGGAUGGUAACUUGAGGACACAUUCAGGCUUGUCCCUAAGAAAGUGAAUAACUCUGUCCAAAAGGUGCCAAUGAACCGUCCAUCCCGAUCACUCACAAUGCUUGUCGGUAUGCCCCACAGUUUCACAAUAUGUCUAAAGAAUAAUUGAGCUGUUAACUCCGCCGAACACUGCUUCGUAGUGGGAACGAAAGUGGCAUAUUUCGAGAAUCGAUCUAUGAUGACUAAUAUAGUCUCAUAGUCGCCUACUUUUGGGAGAUGGGUGAUGAAGUCCAUAGAAACACUCUCCCACGGUCUCGUUGGCACCUGCAGAGGUUCGAGAAGCCCAGCAACCUUUGCCUUCUCGACUUUGUCCUGUUGACAGACAAGACACGUCUUCGUGUAUUGCAUGACGUCGUCUCUCAUACGGGGCCAGAAGUAUCCUUUCUUCAGCAAGGCGUAUGUCCUCUGCCAUCCGGGGUGGCCGGCCCACAGAGUGUCGUGACACUCGUGUAGCAACUUCUUCCUCAGGUCUCCUCCCCUAGGGACAUACAACCGUCUCCCCUUCGUCACUAACAACCCAUCUUCAACCCAAAACUGCCUUCUUUUACCUGCCUCAGCUAAACUCAUGACACUCCAAGCCACAGAAUCCUUCUGCAAGAACUCCCUCAAGACAUCGCGCAUAGGGCCAUCAAUCUUGCUUGCUUAGAGAUGUGCUAACAUGCACAAAGCAGCGUGGUCGCCUCUUCGACUAAGCGCAUCAGCGGCCUGAUUGCUCACCCCCUUCUUGUGUUCAAACUCAAAAUCAAACUCAGCUAGGAAUUCCUGCCAUCUAGCUUGUUUUGAAGUCAACUUCGGUUGCGUAAAGAAGUGACAAGUAGCACUAUUGUCCGUCUUCACAACAAAAGUUGACCCCAAUAAGUACUGUCUCCAGGCCCUUAAGCAAUGUACUACGACAAGCAUUUCUUUCUCGGACACGGUGUACCUCCUCUCCGCGGCAUUUAGUUUCCGACUCUCAUCUGGACCUUUCUUUGGCACUGCGGACUACUUCGGUUAAUUACGGAUGGUCCUACGGAUAAAUCCUGCGGACUCCGGACGUAGGAUAAAUUCUGCGGACUCCUUCCUUCCAUAUGGAUGGUCCUACGGAUAAAUCCUCCGGACUACUUAGGUUAAUUACGGAUGGUCCUACGGAUAAAUCCUCUGGACUACUUCGGUUAAUUACGGAUGGUCCUACUUCCAUAUGGAUAGUCCUACUUGUAAUGGAUAGUCCUCCGGAUAAAUCCUGCGGAUGUAGGACCUUGGUUCUUUCUUUCUUUAAUGGAUAGUCCUCCGGAUAAAUCCUGCGGACUGCGGACGUAAGACCCUGGACCUUUCUUUGGCACUCCGAACGGAUAAAGAAAGGAUAAAUAAAGGCGCAAAGAAUAUUGCGAGAGCGGGAAUUACCUUUUCUCUUCAGGUUAGCUAAGAGUUGCCGGAGGCUUGAAGUCGGAUAAUUACUUUUACUUAAAGGUUUCACAAACCUGCAAAAUCUUCUCCAAAUUAGUGUUAGCGUUCUGAGUGCCAAGCAGUAUAUUUAAAAUAUAGAAAGAAGAAAAAUCCAUGCAAUCUAAGUACACUAAGAACCUACAGCAUCGUCACCGCUGCUUGGGAAGGUUAAUUCUUCUAACUCUGGUAUUAUCGUUGAACAAGCAGUUCACAUCCGACUGCCCGCGUAGUGGGGGAAGCUCGCUCGCUAACUUUGCACUUCGGCCAAAAUGCCGAAAAAAGGCUAAGGCCGAAGGAGGUCUGCUCCUUCGCUCAAGGAAAAAUUGCCCGAUUGGAUAUAUAUCUCGGAGCAGAGAGAGGAAAGGAUCACGGAAGCCUUAGUCUCAGUACGAAAGGGGCAAAAAGCUGGAAAAAGCAUACUGGCUUCACCUUGCCCUAGGAUGGGGUCCGUCGGAUCUUUUAAGACAUAGGCUUAAUGCUGAGACGCACGGGGAUAUCCAGUAAAGGAUGGAUAUUCAAGACAAGGACGAAGGCUCUCCGUCACGCAAGAUGAUUAUAAGUCUUAGGAGUGAACUUCCGCUUUACCCCUUCUCGGUUUACCCUUCUUUUAGGAUAGAAAAAGCCACUGCCUGUGUGACCACUACAAGCGGACGUGACGAGCGACGCAGGGCCACCCACGACCGCUAGCAAUACGAGGUAAAGCGGCCAGAAAGCAUACCAUAGGAUGCGUCUUGAGGGCAUUCACAUAAACAUUCUUCGAAUUAUUCACAUUCGACGGGAUGUUCUUAGCCUUGUCUCCAGGUGAAUAAUUGAAUCGGCACCGGCGCGAUCGGACCUAUUGCAGCCUUCGGUUGACUGGUGGCAUUCGAUGGUAUGCUUUGAGGCCUUCCCAACCCGCUCCGUGUAAAAGAGGUAGAAGGAGGCUCAAAGAAUUAUCGAAGAGCGAGACGAAAGAAAAUAGCGACUUCCAGUCGGUGAUGGGAUAUCUCAAUGUUAUCGUAGAUUCAAAGGCGCAAAGAAUAUUGCAUUGAGGCUCGACUGAAAGGAGAGGCGAAUUUGAGAAGAAAGAACUAUAUCGGAUAAAUACUCAACUGCCUCAGACGUCACUGGGACAAGAGCCGGAGAUUCUGAAACCUCUCGCAGCUUCUUUGCUUCCUCUGGUCUCGAUAUUUGAACCGCCUCAAUAAACAACAAAUAAGGGUCCAAAAAAUCAAGGUCAUCUGAAACCCUUUUUUUGAUGCGCCUCAGUCCUAUCCAUUAGAACGCCGGCCCUCACCCUUUUUCUUCUUAGUGCGCACUUGAGCUUUAGUCUUCCGAGUUCUCAAAUUCUUUGACCCUCUGUCUCAGUAUUCGGCAGAGAUGUUGAUGUUAACAAGAAAUGCAGGCUGAAUGCUGUAUGGAAGGAUGAUCAUUUUGGCUUCUUGUAGCCAUUGAUGCUGUCUAAUACUCGGAGAGACAUUGUUAGUAAUGUGACUUUGGACAAGGUUACUGAAGAUAGAACUAUCUGGCCUCAGGUCAGUUUUCAGUUGCUAAGGCAGUGAAGCUCUUUCAUCUUCCUGGUAAUACUGUCCCUUGGUUCAAGCUUCUUUGGGGUAAGAAGCACAUCCCUAGUCAUGCUUUUCUUUCCUGGAUGGCUAUGAAUAAGAGUCUGAGAGUCAAAAUGGCUAUGAAUAAGAGUCUGAGAGUCAAAGCUAAACUGUACAAUCUUUAAGUGCUUCCGUCUGAUUUUGAGGUUUGGAAGCAAAGAAGCAGAGCGGAGUUUGAUUCCUUAUAUCAGGAAAAGAUAUAGGAAGACUCCCAAGAAGAAGAAAGCCUAGGAGAAAGCAAAGAAAGAGUAAGGAUCAGAAAGCUCCUAACCCCUAUUUAUUUAUGGAUGUGAAUUGAGCGAAGGCGCAAAGAAUAUUGCGAAGGUUCAAAGAAUAUUGACUUGAUAAACCUCUAUUUAGCUUCUUAUAUCUGAAGACGAUAAAGUCAGAUAAUCAGCCUUCGGCUGGGUCGGAUCGUCCAUACCUAGUUGAGUAUCUUUGUCCGUCAUAACGAAGUCACUCUUUGAAAAGGGUCGGGCUUUGUUGGAGUUGACUCGGUGAGUACACUUUCAUCUUGACGAGAAGAAGCGCGAACAACAACUAUAUUAUUCAGCCAGAGACCUGAUUUACCCGAUGAGUGGAACGGCUCGACAAAAGUCUUAGGACUCGCGGACAGACGCGCCUCCUUCCUGCUAGAACUCAUAGGUCUACGCGGGUUUUUUAGGUAGCGAGAAUAGUGGUCCCAAACGGAAUAGAAGUACUUUUGAUUCACUGAAUCGGAAUCUUUGAAAGAAUAAAGGGGGACGGAGGAUCAAUGAAAUUUGAUGAUGAUGAGUAAGCUCUCGGUUUUCUUGCUCCUCUUUCUCCUCUUUCUUCCAUAUGGAUAGUCCUACUUCUAAUGGUUAUCUUUAGUUUUACUAUUGUUCUUUUUUUAAUGUUUUCUUAGUUUUUAAUAAGUGUGACAAAAUAUGAAUUAAUUUUUUUCUUUGAACAAAUGUGGAAUUUAUUUUCUUUUAAUGUAGUUGUGUCCCCAAUAAAUUUAUUUUCGCGAUUUAACAAUCCAUCAUGUUCUUUUUCAUUUUUCUGUUGUAUUUUCUUUGGUUCUUUGUUGUGGUAUGUCUAUUUUUGAGACAUUCUUAAUUUAGUUUUAUUUCUUUUAGCUUCCUGCAUCAUUUUGUAUUAUGGAUUGUUAUGAAAUUUUGAGAUUAUGCUUUAUUUUGUUUUUUUGGUCCUUUGGUGUGAUGUCUUUUGAUUAUUUCUUUUGAGUGAACAGUUCAUGUAAGAUUUUCUGCAUGAGAAUAAAUUGAUUAUUUAAUUUGGCAUCCUAAGUUUGCUCUGGGUUCUGUUGGUGGCAUUCAUCAAUAUGUUAAUCUAUUAGGGAAUGUAUGGUUAUAACAAAGUAAGAAGAAUGGAAGUUCUGGGGGAGUAUUUGUGACAAGAGGGCAAGGAUGCUUCUGCAUCAAUUUAGUGUUAGUCAAUCAUGUCUAUGCUUUGGCCCUUCUCAUUCCACUUUCCACUACUACAAAAAUGUAUCUGCAAUUGAUCAUGUAAAAGUGUUUCAAUUUUCUGUCUUAGGUUCAUCUCAGUUAGUUAGUCUUAAGAGUAAGGGAGAUAAUUCAUUUUUCUUGUUUCAGCUAGAUAUUACCCUCCAUGUCCUGAUUUUUAAUUUGGCUUCCUAAGUGUGCUCUAGGUUCUGUUGGUAGCAUUCGUCAGUAUGUUAAUCUACAGGUGAAUCUAUAGUUAUAACAUAGUAAGAAGAAUGGAAGUUCUUGGGGAGUUUGUGUGACAAGAGGGCAAGGAUGCUUCUGCAUUAAUUUAGUAUCAGUGUCAACCAUGUUUAUGCUUUGGCCAUUCUCAUUUCCACUUUCCACUACUCCAAAAAUGUAUUAUCUGCAAUUGAUCAGGUAAAAGUGUUUCAAUUUUCUGUCUUUGGUUCAUCUCAGUUAGUUAGUCUUAAGAGUAAGGGAGAUAAUUCGUUUUUCUUGUUUCAGCUAGAUAUUACUCUCCAUGUCUUGAUUUUUAGUUUUUUAGGGGUGCUUGGUUGGUUUGAAUGCAGGAAACUUUUGCUGGUAAACGAUUCAAACAGCUUUCCAUGUCAGGUUUUUCUAUUAUUUUUCUUUAAUAUUUUGGAACAUGUGUAAUUUCUGUAUAUAUUUUCUUGCCGUUUUCCUUUUUCAUCAUUUAUUUUGAUUUUGGAGAGGGUCUCUUGGUAACUUGACUUUUCUUUUAGUUUUGACUUGGGAACAUGUGCAUUGUGGAUUGUUAUGAAAUUUUGAGUUUCUGCUUUCUUUUGAGUUUUGGUGAUGCCUUUUUACGAGACAUUUUUAAUUUAGGUUAAUUUUUUAGGUUGCUUGCAUUUAUGGAUUGUUCUGAAAUUUUGACUUUCUGCUUUUGUUUUUUAUGUCAUUUGUUGUGUGAUAUUCUCUUUAUAAGAUAGAGAUAUUUUUAAUUUAGGUUUACUAUUUUUUAGCCUGCUUGCAUUUGGUAUCAUAUAUGAAUUGUUCUGAAUUUUGAGUUUCUUCUUUUUCAGUCAUUUGUUGUGCGAUAACUUUUUAUAAGACAGACAUUAAGAUUUAUUAUUUUUGGACUUGUUUGUAUUUUGUAUCACGGAUUGUGGUUUUUUAAAUUCAGAGGAGGAACUAGAAAUUGUUCUUGUGAUAUGUUAAAAUCUAGUUUACUGCAAAGAAUGAAUUCUAAAACAGAGGGUAUGAAUGUCGUCAAUAAUUUUUCUCCAUUUCUGCGUUGAGUAAUGUUUAGCUGAUAUGUUUGUGUAUUCUUUACAUUAGUGCAGCACCACAUGCUAAUUUAGGUGUGAAAUGCUAAUUUAGAUGUGAAACAAUUCCAAAGAUGACGAGAAAUCAAAGAUUGUCGUAGUAAAAAACCUCACCAGUUUUUCAGUUUUUCUUUUCUUUUUCUUUAAUAGUUUGAGUUUUUCCUUUCAGGUUUUUCUUUUCUUUUUCUUUAAUGGUUUGGAAUUUUGCUGGUGUGAUUUCUGCUUUUCUCUUAUCAUUUAUUUUUGAUUUUGGAGAGCAACUUUGGUAAUGUUAAGGUGAUUUAAGAAAAGUUGGUUGUCCAAGAAUCAAUUUUUUUAUAUUACCUUAAAUCUUCCUAAGACAUGUUGGGUCUUUCUUUGGCCUUUGUUAGUGUCUUCUAUUAAGUCUGUUAGUUUCACUUUAGUUGGGUCUUUUUUUAAUUUUAUUUUAGCUUUUAAAUUCCAAAUCCUACUCAUUUGGUCAUGACGAUUGAAUAAUCAUUGUUAAAUUUAUUUCUUGUUGGGAGUGUAGAUUUUAUUUUCUUUUUGGCCUUUGUUAUUUGCAUCUAUACAGGGGUUCGAAAAAUUCAAACCCUUCCCUCUUUUAUUCGACAUUCUUUUAGUUUUAUUAGUACUAUUGGAUUGUUAAAAAUAAUUGUGUUACUAUUUCUUACAUUCCAUAAAGAACCCUUUCUGAUGGAUUAUUUCUUAUUGAACUGUUUUAAAAUUUUGAGUUUCUUCUUUUUCUUUUUUGGGUCCAUUGUUGGGGGAUGAUACAUCUUUAAUUUAGAUUUAUUAUCGUUAGCUUGUUUUGCAUUUUGUAUUAUGUUUUUUGAAAUUUUGAGUUUCUUCUUUUUCUUUCUUUGGUCAUGUGUUGUGCGAUGUUAUUUGCAUUAGGGGUGUUUGGUUGGUUGUUUUUUUAGGGGUGUUUUGGUUAGUUAGGCUUAAGAAGCAAGGGCUAGUGAAAGAGAAGCAUUUGAUUGUACUACAAGUAAUAAGCUUCUCCUCAAUCAUUCAACCAUUUUUUUAGUAAAGAAAGAGGCUUCUCCUCUGGCAACCAAAGUCCGUCCCUCGUUAACAGGUAAGUCUACCCCAUUACUUUUUAUGUCCUUUUAAUUAAGAUAUUUGGGUCAAUAUAUAUCAAAAUAAAUAAGAUCCAUCUUUGGUAAUUUUUAAAAAAAUUAAAUCUAUAAAUACUCAUUUCAUCUCUAAAAUUAUGUGAUUUGUACUUUCUAAAAUUCCCUCGAUGGUACUAAUACACUCUUAUAUUUGUAUUGUAAUUAUCAUGUCCUUUUUCUAUGGUUUUUUAAAGUUAAUUUAGAUCCUUAUUCGCUCUAGGUAUAAGUUGAAUGGAAGAGUUUUUUAGCCUUGAUAGAUCUUGAGUACCUGAAUCGCCGAUGAAACAGAGGUUAUUUUCUCGGAAAUUCCACGAAUUGUUCAGGUUUGGAUUCUGUAAUUCUGUUGUUCUUUUUUGAUUUUGGAGAGUGUCCUGGGUAAUUUUGAGGAUUAUUAUUUUUUUGUUUUUUUGGCUUGCAUUUAAUCACGCGCGUUGGGGAAUAGACAGGCUUCGGAGAAUGAAUCACCUUUUUAAGGUUUCGCUGGGGAGCGAAUUGGCCAUAAGGCAUCCCUUUCUGUUCAGUCUCUCUCUUGCCUUUUUCAUACUAUAUGGUUGUUGAUCUGGGGUUAUUAAAUGAUUGUUGCUUUUAUUUUCAUAAGAAGUGAUUUUAUAUUUUUGUUUCUCUCUGUGCAACUUUAAUAUGAGGUUAUUAAGGAAGGAGAUAAAGGAGGAAGAAGGGACGGAGAAAAGGAAGAAAUGACUGGAUUGUUGGGAUGGGUAUGAAGAUGCAGUAGAGCCACCACCUAGGGGCUGUAAGGUCUAAUGGGCAAAUUGAAAGUAAAAAAGAGUGCACAUCCAUUCAAGCUAAGAGAGCUUGGGUUCCUAAAUUACUAUUGCUCUGGGUUCUGUUGGUGGCAUUGAUUGGUAUUGUUAAUCUACAAGGGAAUUGAUGGUGUUAACAAAGUUAGAAGAAAGGAAGUUUUGGGCGUAUGUGUGACCAGAGGACAAAGAUGCUUCUGCAUCAAUUUACUGUCAGUGUUAAACUAUGUCCAUGCUUUGGUUAUUUUAUUUUCUACUUUCCACUCCUCUCGAAAUGUAUCAGCAAUUGUUCAUGUAAAUGUGUUUCGAUUUCCGUCUUUGAUACUUCUCAGUUAGUUAGGCUUAAAAGUAUGAGAGAUAAUUCAUUUCUCGUCUCAUAUAGAAAUUAUCUUGAUGUCUUGAUUUUUAGGGUUUUUUCAGCGGUUUUUGUUUUUGUUUUUUUUUUUUUUGUUGGAUUUUGGCUAGUUAGGCUUAGAGGUGUAAGGACUUGUGAAAGAGAAGCAUUUGAUUGACCAACGAGUAAUUCUCCUCAGGCAUCCCACCACUUUUCUAUUAAAGAAAUACAGGUACGUCUACGCUAUUACUUUUCAUGUCCUUUUACCUAAGAUAUUUAUAUAAAUAUAUAUAAAAAUAAAUAAGAUCCAUCUUUGGUAAUUUUUUAAAAAUCAAAUAUGUGAAUAUUCAUUUCAUCUCUAAAAUUUUGCGUUUUGUUACUUUUUAAAAUCCCCUCCAUGUUACUAUUACACUCUUAUAUUUGUGUUGUAAUUAUGAUGUCCUUUUUCUUUGGUCUUUUAAAGUUAACUUAAAUCCUUAUUUGCUCUUGGUUUAUGUUGAAGAAAUGGAAGAGUUUUUUAGCCUUAAUAGAUCUGGAGUACCUUAAUCGCUCUUGCAUUUUGUGAUUCUGUUGUUCUUUUUCUAUUUUGAAGAGUGUCCUUAGUAAUUUUUAGGAUUUUUAUUUUAUAGUUUUUGUCGCUUGCAUUUAAACACAGACUUGGUUGUUGAACUGGGGUUCUUGAAUAAUUGUUGGUUUUGUUUUCUGAAGAAGUGAUCUUAUAUUUGUGUAUCUCUAUGUGCAACUUUAAUAUGGGGUUAUUAAGGAUGGAGAUAAAGGAGGAAGAAUGGAGAGAGAAAAGGCAGAAAUGGACUUAAUUGUUGGGAUGAGUAUGACCCCAUGUCUAGUAGUUCCCAAGUAUGAUAUAGGAAGGCAGAGAGUCAAGGCCUUGUCUGACUCUAAUAGAAGUAAGUAGCUAACGCAACGCAAUAUUCUUUGCACCUUCAGUCUGUGAAUCUGAGGAGCAAGAGUUUGGCUAGGGGAGCUAGUCCCGUAACUGCAGGCGCAGUUCUAGUUCUUUACAAGACAGAUGGUAAUUGUAGCUAACAAGUGUGCCCUGAGUGGAAUCCUACCACUAUUUCUACUAUAUUGGCAGGACGGGUGCCAAGUUAUUAGGAGCUAGGCAGCUAAGCCAGUAGUAGUUCAGUUCAGGCGCUGUUCCCAAAUCUAGUUGACUACGUUGUAGCGUAGCGGUACGGGACAGGAAAAGAAUUGAUAGCGAUACACUGAACACAAAGGAAUUUGAUAGACAUAUGUUGAAAGUUCGACAAGUAGCACUGAAUCUACUAUCAGUAGUGAUUUAUAGAAGUUGACUCGCUUAAACGAAGAGAGUGAACAAAGCAUAGCGGAGUGAAGAGAGAAAUGGUUUCAUUUGAUAGCUCUCUCGAUGUCCUUGUUAUCUUUCCUAGGUAGAUUGUGACUUAUUCAUUCUUUCUCGCUGACUCUAGUUUCCCCGACGUGGAUCCUUUCUCGGUUAGGGCCUCCCCUAUCCGUAUUCAUUGAUCGCUCUCUUUGCCGCGAAUCUCGUCAUGGUGGUCCUUCGCCUUGCAAUAUUCUUUGUUCCUCCUUCCUAGGCUUGAUUGGUACAUCAAGCAUAUCGACAUCUUGCUUCUUCGGUUUGGUACACAUAUCUAUCAAUGAAUAGAAAGUAAUAGAAUUCAUUCCUGCGUACUCGCAUAUUGAAUUGUGCCUUCGGACCAUCAAAGAAAGGUCCAGGGUCCAGAGUCCGCAGGAUUUAUUCGGAGUCCGGAGGAUUUAUCCGUAGGACCAUCCAUAUAGAGGGAAGUAGUUCAGAGGAUUUAUUCGUAGGACCAUCCGUAAUUAACAGAAGUAGGACUAUCCAUUAUCCUCCGUCCGGAGUUCGCAUGAUUCUUACCCGUAGGACUAUCCAUAUGGAAGUAGGACUAUCCGUAAUUAACCGAAGUUUGCACCUCUUGAUUAUGAAUCAUAUAUAUUGAUUUUGACCGGAGCAAAGAUCAUUGCCCACAGAGCGACGCAAAGAAUAUUGCGACCUGUGGAUUCAUUGAGGCGGUGAAGAAUUGCCAUUUUAUGAGCUUGUAAGACCCCUCCGGAGGAGAAGGAUAGGGGAGCAAGGUUCAAAGUGGUUUUCAAAGUCAGGGCUAUCCCUUACUAUUGAGGGCUUUGACCACCUAGACACUCGCCUACUCAGUCGCAAGGAUCAAAGAAUUUGAUUGACAAAGAAUAUUGCGAUUUUACCGAGUCCUUCGUCUCGCAAUAUUCUUUGCGCCUUCGGUGAGUCAGGUGUUAAUAUGGAUAAGUCCCUUGGACUGAUAGCGUCCAAAAUAGGCGAGGGCGGACGGGCUAUAAGUAGGCCGUUUGCUAUUGCUAUAAGGGCUGCUUGCCUUUAUACAGCUUGGCUUCGCUAUCGCUCAUGACUUGUAUUGUGGUCGGCCUAAAAAGUAGUCUUCCUACCAUAAAAAAAUGCCUAUUAUCUGGUUCGUUAAGCUUCGCCAAAAGCAAGACGAGGGCGCUUUGCUUCGUAGACAAGGCUCGUCUAGUACUUGACUUACGAGUUCGUGUAGGAUUUCCCCUCUCUCUCUAAAGGGGCUUUUAUGCACGGAACUCCUUGUCUACUAAAGAAGCGUUCGAGCGAGCGAGUUCAGCCUGAAAUUGAGUGGUCUCCCUCCUUUUCCCUCACUGAAAUAUUAUGUCUUUCAUUUCCACUUAAGCUUCCCCGCUUUGAGGGAUUAAUUGAUUGGAUACCUGAGAACCAUAAUCUUUCCUAGGAACUGCUUCUACGACGAUAGGCGUAAAGGCAUGAUUAAUUCCACAAAUCUCACUGCACUGACCAUAGUAAACUCCUUCUCAUUGUACCAAAAUGGAGAUCUGAUUUAAACGGCCAGGUACAACAUCACAUUUGACACCUGAGGAUGGUACAACCCAACUAUGAGGUACAUCAGCAGGUGUUACAAUAAUACGUAGAUGAGUUUUGGCUGGUAGAACCAUUCUAUUGUCCACUUCUAAUAAACGUGAUUGACCCAAUUCUAAAUCAUCUUCUGGAAUCGUAUAACUGUCAAAAGUGAGUGACUGUUCAUCGGAACUAUUAUAGUCAGAAUACUCAUAAAUUCGAUACCAUUGAUGUCCUAUAGCUUUGAUAGUCAUGGCUGGAUCUACUACUACCUCGUCCAUUUAGUAUAAAGAGAGCAAAGGAUGAUAUAACAAUGAACACCGGAAUGAUACUAGGAAAAAUGGUCCAAAGAAUCUCGAUAGUAGUUCCAUGAACAAUCCUUUGCGGUAUUUUCUUUUGAGAAUAGUGGAAAUGCCAUAAAGCGCGAACCAAGAUCCGUGAUACGAAAACAAAAAUCAGAAUGAGGAAGAAAAAGAUAUCGUGAUGUAAGUCUAUUAUUCCUUGCAUCAUAGGUGUUGCUGCGUCUUGAGAUCCUAAUUGCCAUGGUUCCGCUACAUCACAAGGAGCAAUUGUGAGGAAUAGCCAUUUGAGCACAAUCAUUUUCCAUUGUUUAUUCUUUGACCCGUCUGUCCUUCGGUCUUAAUACUCCUAACGUCGAAUAAGAAGCUGGAGGCUGGGUCCAGGUGCAAAGAAUAUUGCGUCCAUUAGAUCCAUUGAAUUAGGCGGAGGACUUUAUCAAGCUUAGCUUUCUGGAUUCUUCCGCGGAGUGGGGCUUUCUCUAGUAGGUCUGGAGGCUCAAAGAAUGAUCGAAGGCUCCGGACCAUAAAGAAGAGAGACGGAGGACUUCCAUUGACUUUUUCUUCCUUUCACUUCUAACUUCAAACCUUUCAUAUGAAACCUUGAAAAUAAAGGAGGGAGCGGACUACGGAGGCCAUAAGUUUGAGUUCCUCAGAUGGAUAAAAACAAGUCCUCCGGACGCUACGUAGUCUUGUCUCCUUCCCCACGUAGUGGGCAUUGACUUCUUCAUUGAUUUUCUUCUAUCUCCCACGUAGCGGUUGAAUAUGAAAGGAAGCCCACGGAGCUGAAGACGGAGCGGGAUAAUAAAGAAGAAAGCUCAAAAGGAGGGAGCAGACCUCAAUGAACAAGGGGAGGACUCAUUUUCAUCCUUAUGGAAGAAAAAUCUCUUUUUUUAUCUAAAAGACGUAGAAGGAGGCUCAAUGUCUAAUCUUUCUCUCAAAUCAAUAUCCCCCGGUGCAAAUAUUCUAGCAAUAUUCUCAAUAUGAAAAGAGCCUUUCUUCUUUUCUUAGAUAAAUGCGCUUCGUAGAUUAUGCUGAAGGAGGAGUGGGCCAUGAUCUUUGCUCCUUAAUUUCCCUAAUGGAUAGUCAUCUGGACCUUUCUUUUUAGUUCUUUGCGCUCGUCAACGCAUAUUUCAUUGCGCCUUCGCCUUCAAUGAAAUCCAUAAAUAAAUAAGGGUAGAUUUCAGACUCAAGAGGAGGGUUCCUUAUCAAUAUCAAUGAGACGAAUGGGCUUUCUUUUACAUUCUACAGGUCCGAAGGACUAUCCAUAUUUAUUAACCUGUCUGUCCUUCGCCUAACUAGUUCAUAUAGACCUUUGUUUUUCUUCCGCGGUCACUAAUAUGGAUAGUCCGGAGGACCUCCUUCAGCAUAAUCUAUGAAUGAUCGGAGCAAAGAAUAUUGCGGAAAAGAAGAAAGGAGUGCAAGCGAAAACUAAUGGAUUGAAUAGUCCUUCGGACGGACUACCGCACCGUGGGGGAUAUUGUUGAGAAAGAAUAUUGAAAAAGAAUGAUCGAAGAAUAUUGAAAAAGGACGGAGGAUAGGCUUUCUUUGAACAAUGUGGAUGUAUCAAAGAUUCCACAGGUUAAUAUGGUAGAUUUCAGACUAGUCCUUUGCCUUGUAUCUGGAGACUAUUCGCUCUUCUAAUAGACAGAGGAGAGGUUCAAAGAAUAUUAAGAAUACUCGUGCAAGCGCAAUCAAUGAACAAGGUGAAAAGAAUAAAAAAAAGGUGGUCGAUGAUCAGGAAGAAAAAGCAAAAGUCUAUCCCCU
rnacentral:lncRNA from 1 species